GAUGAAGAACGUAGCGAAAUGCGAUAAGUAAUGUGAAUUGCAGAAUUCAGUGAAUCAUCGAAUCUUUGAACGCACAUUGCGCCCCCUGGUAUUCCGGGGGGCAUGCCUGUUCGAGCGUCAUUUCACCACUCAAGCCUCGCUUGGUAUUGGGCAUCGCGGUCCGCCGCGCGCCUCAAAUCGACCGGCUGGGUCUUCUGUCCCCUAAGCGGUGUGGAAACUAUUCGCUAAAGGGUGUUCGGGAGGCUACGCCGUAAAACAACCCCAUUUCUAAGGUUGACCUCGGAUCAGGUAGGGAUACCCGCUGAACUUAAGCAUAUCAAUAAGCGGAGGA
rnacentral:misc_RNA from 1 species